GGACCCGUGGCGGAAUCGGCAGACGCAGCGGCCUUAAAAGCCGCGGCCGUGAAAACGGCGUGAGGGUUCGAACCCCUCCGGGUCCA
rnacentral:tRNA from 1 species